rnacentral:rRNA from 1 species
AUUGAACGCUGGCGGCAGGCCUAACACAUGCAAGUCGAACGGUAACAGGAAGCAGCUUGCUGCUUCGCUGACGAGUGGCGGACGGGUGAGUAAUGUCUGGGAAACUGCCUGAUGGAGGGGGAUAACUACUGGAAACGGUAGCUAAUACCGCAUAACGUCGCAAGACCAAAGAGGGGGACCUUAGGGCCUCUUGCCAUCGGAUGUGCCCAGAUGGGAUUAGCUAGUAGGUGGGGUAACGGCUCACCUAGGCGACGAUCCCUAGCUGGUCUGAGAGGAUGACCAGCCACACUGGAACUGAGACACGGUCCAGACUCCUUCGGGAGGCAGCAGUGGGGAAUAUUGCACAAUGGGCGCAAGCCUGAUGCAGCCAUGCCGCGUGUAUGAAGAAGGCCUUCGGGUUGUAAAGUACUUUCAGCGGGGAGGAAGGGAGUAAAGUUAAUACCUUUGCUCAUUGACGUUACCCGCAGAAGAAGCACCGGCUAACUCCGUG